rnacentral:lncRNA from 1 species
ACACAUUCCUUAGAUAUAGAUUCAGAUGAAAGAUAUAAUCUGACAAUUUCUUCUCCAAUCCACAAAUUAAAUCAAUGCCAGUUCUUCACUGUAACGAACUAACAUCUUCAAAAGUUGACCAAGUCUUCUCCAAUCCAGAAACAAAUUAAUGUAAAUGCCAGUUAUUUGUAAAUCUACACAUUCAAUGACAAGAAAUAAUAUCAACAAACUAAGAAAGACGAAUUAUUAUCUUGUAAUCAAAGCUUGACCAAAUCGGCGUUUGAAUCAAACAAAAGAAAACCAGCAAACCAGCAAACCAAAAUCAGAUAUAUAGCAAAUUUACUGAUGAAUUCGAUAACUCUUGCUUGGAAAAGGAAAUCACCUGAAGCUCCUUAGAUUAUUUCGGAAGCCGCCACUCAACCAAAACGUCGGCGAGAGUGACGGUGACUGUAAUCGCUUCGCCGUUGUCGCGUGAUUAAAUCUUCCUUAAGCGACUUAUGUCUUAAACCAAAUCUCGCAAAUCUGGUUCAUUAAAUUGUAUAUAACCGGUUUCGUAUAAACCGAAAUGUAAUUUUUGGUCUAAAUUGGUUUACAUAAUGCUGCUGGGUGAUUAUUUUUUGUUUCGCAUUUUUUUUUUUCCUACUGGUUCAGCCUUUUGAGUCG